rnacentral:rRNA from 1 species
GACGAACGCUGGCGGCGUGCUUAACACAUGCAAGUCGAACGAAGAGCGAUGGACGCUUGCUUCUAUCAAUCUUAGUGGCGAACGGGUGAGUAACGCGUAAUCAACCUGCCCUUCAGAGGGGGACAACAGUUGGAAACGACUGCUAAUACCGCAUACGAUCUAAUCUCGGCAUCGAGGAUAGAUGAAAGGUGGCCUCUAUGUAUAAGCUAUCACUGAAGGAGGGGAUUGCGUCUGAUUAGCUAGUUGGAGGGGUAACGGCCCACCAAGGCGAUGAUCAGUAGCCGGUCUGAGAGGAUGAACGGCCACAUUGGGACUGAGACACGGCCCAGACUCCUACGGGAGGCAGCAGUGGGGAAUCUUCCGCAAUGGACGAAAGUCUGACGGAGCAACGCCGCGUGAGUGAUGACGGCCUUCGGGUUGUAAAGCUCUGUUAAUCGGGACGAAAGGCCUUCUUGCGAAUAGUGAGAAGGAUUGACGGUACCGGAAGAGAAAGCCACGGCUAACUACGUG